UCGUGCUAGGUGGGGCGUUAGCGGUGCCCUGUACUCGCAAUCCGCUAUAGCGAGGCUGAAAUCCCCUGUCGAGACUGUUCGUAUGUGGCCGCUGGAGUCAGUAUUUGAUGUUGAUAGCCUGGUCCCGCGCGGCGAGACCUCGUGAACCCCGUCAGGACCGGAAGGUAGCAGC
rnacentral:SRP_RNA from 1 species